rnacentral:rRNA from 1 species
UACGGAGGGUGCAAGCGUUGUCCGGAAUCACUGGGCGUAAAGGGCGCGUAGGCGGCUCAUGAAGGCUGUGGUGAAAGUCCGGGGCUCAACCUCGGAUCGGCCGUGGCGACUCGUGGGCUGGAGCACUGUAGAGGCGGGUGGAAUUCCGGGUGUAGCGGUGGAAUGCGUAGAGAUCCGGAAGAACACCAGUGGCGAAGGCGGCCCGCUGGGCAGUGGCUGACGCUGAGACGCGAAAGCGUGGGGAGCGAACAGG